AGAAUGAACGUUGGCGGCGUGGAUUAGGCAUGCGAGUCGUACGAGAACCCGCAAGGGGGAAAGUGGCGAACGGGGUAGUAAUGCGUAGGUGACGUGCCCUGCGGUCGGGGAUAGCUUAGGGAAACUUAAGGUAAUACCCGAUGACACCAUGAGGUUUGAAUACCAUAUGGUCAAAGGUGUGAUUCCACCACAGGAGCGGCUUGCGUGGUAUUAGCUAGUUGGUGAGGUAACGGCUCACCAAGGCUUCGAUGCCUAGGGGAUGUUAGCGCAUGAUCCCCACCACUGGGACUGAGAUACUGCCCAGACCACCUACGGGUGGCUGCAGUCGAGAAUCGUUCGGACAAGUCGGGGGAAACCCUGACCGAGCCGACGCCGCGUGUGGAGUGAAGGUCCCUUGGGUUACUAAACCACGUGUACGAGGAGGGAUAGGAAGUGACGUAGAAACGUCUAAUUCUUUUACGUAGUUUU
rnacentral:rRNA from 1 species